UAGUCCACGCCGUAAACGAUGAAUACUAGGUGUCGGGAGUCGAAUCUCGGUGCCGCAGCUAACGCAUUAAGUAUUCCGCCUGGGGAGUACGCACGCAAGUGUGAAACUCAAAGGAAUUGACGGGGACCCGCACAAGCAGCGGAGCAUGUGGUUUAAUUCGAAGCAACGCGAAGAACCUUACCAAAUCUUGACAUCCUAUUGACCAUCACUUAAUCGUGACUUUCUUCUUCGGAAGACAGCAGAGACAGGUGGUGCAUGGUUGUCGUCAGCUCGUGUCGUGAGAUGUUGGGUUAAGUCCCGCAACGAGCGCAACCCUUGUCUUUAGUUGCCAUCAGUUAGGCUGGGCACUCUAAAGAGACUGCCGGUGACAAACCGGAGGAAGGUGGGGGAUGACGUCAAAUC
rnacentral:rRNA from 1 species